rnacentral:tRNA from 1 species
GGUUGCGGCUCAGUGGUAGAGUGCUCACCUACCAUGCACGAGGCCCUGGGUUCGAUCCUCAGCACCA